rnacentral:misc_RNA from 1 species
GAAAUUCUCAAAGCAAGUCUUUUGUUAAUUCAAUUGGCUUUGCUUUGGACUUGGAGGUCUGCAGAUCAAAACUCUGCUCCUCUUAAAUGUAUUAGCUGGAUCUCCAUGAACUUGGUUCCACUCGGCGUGAUAAGUUAUCACUCGCUGAGGACACCCGUAAAAAAGGUGGCCAGGCCCUAGGAUGAGCCGCUUCUAAUAGUCCAUUAGCUUGGACAAAUUAAAUUUCUGAUCUGAUCUCAAAUCAGGUAGGACUACCCGCUGAACUUAA